rnacentral:rRNA from 1 species
GAUGAACGCUGGCGGCGUGCCUAAUACAUGCAAGUCGAGCGAACAGACGAGGAGCUUGCUCCUCUGACGUUAGCGGCGGACGGGUGAGUAACACGUGGAUAACCUACCUAUAAGACUGGGAUAACUUCGGGAAACCGGAGCUAAUACCGGAUAAUAUAUUGAACCGCAUUGUUCAAUAGUGAAAGACGGUUUUGCUGUCACUUAUAGAUGGAUCCGCGCCGCAUUAGCUAGUUGGUAAGGUAACGGCUUACCAAGGCAACGAUGCGUAGCCGACCUGAGAGGGUGAUCGGCCACACGGGAACUGAGACACGGUCCAGACUCCUACGGGAGGCAGCAGUAGGGAAUCGUCCGCAAUGGGCGAAAGCCUGACGGAGCAACGCCGCGUGAGUGAUGAAGGUCUUCGGAUCGUAAAACUCUGUUAUUAGGGAAGAACAAAUGUGUAAGUAACUAUGCACGUCUUGACGGUACCUAAUCAGAAAGCCACGGCUAACUACGUG